UGAUACUAAACCAUGUUAGUCAUUGUAGUAAUACAAGGCAGACGGCUCACUAACACGUAGUCAACCUAUACUUAUGGAUGGGGAUAACCUCGGGAAACUGAGAAUAAUACCCAAUAGGUCAUGAUGCCUGGAAUGGUUUAUGACUCAAAUGAAUGUCGCCAUAGGAUGGGACUGCAGAGCUAUCAGCUUGUUGGUGAGGUAAUGGCCCACCAAGGCUAUAACAGCUACUGGGCUCUGAGAGGAGUAACCCGGAAAUGGGUACCUGAGACAAGGACCCAGGCCCUAUGGAGCGCAGCGUCGCGAGAAAACUUUGCAAUGCGCAGAAAGCUCAACAAGGUUAAUCUGAGUGGUUCCUGCUAAAGGAACCUUUUGUUAUUCAUACAACCACUGAUGAAUAAAGGGGUGGACGAGUUCUGGUGUCAGCCGCCGCGUGUAAAACACAGCACCUCACAGUGGGUCAAGAUGAUUAUUG
rnacentral:rRNA from 1 species